rnacentral:rRNA from 1 species
GAUGAACGCUGGCGGCGUGCCCAGUACAUGCAAGUCGAGCGAACAGACGAGGAGCUUGCUCCUCUGACGUUAGCGGCGGACGGGUGAGUAACACGUGGAUAACCUACCUAUAAGACUGGGAUAACUUCGGGAAACCGGAGCUAAUACCGGAUAAUAUAUUGAACCGCAUGGUUCAAUAGUGAAAGACGGUUUUGCUGUCACUUAUAGAUGGAUCCGCGCCGCAUUAGCUAGUUGGUAAGGUAACGGCUUACCAAGGCGACGAUGCGUAGCCGACCUGAGAGGGUGAUCGGCCACACUGGAACUGAGACACGGUCCAGACUCCUACGGGAGGCAGCAGUAGGGAAUCUUCCGCAAUGGGCGAAAGCCUGACGGAGCAACGCCGCGUGAGUGAUGAAGGUCUUCGGAUCGUAAAACUCUGUUAUUAGGGAAGAACAAAUGUGUAAGUAACUAUGCACGUCUUGACGGUACCUAAUCAGAAAGCCACGGCUAACUACGUG